GUCUCUGAUGAAAACCUGGAAUAGGAAGUGCCGUCUUAUGCGAUAACUGACGACUUUAUUAUACCUAUGCCUGAGC